AUUUUCAUAUAUUUUUCAUGUACUUGCAUGGGCUCGAUUACCAGCCGGUAUUCAGGAAUAUCCCAGUACUUGCAUCCUUACCAACAAAAGUUUGUUAAUACUUGUGGCACUACCCACACGUACUAGCUGCUGGCACAGAUAGUUCAACAUCACUUUUUUAGUAACCUGCCAUGAAUUACCAAGUAUAGAUUAUCCAAUUCCUACAGAACAG
rnacentral:lncRNA from 1 species